rnacentral:rRNA from 1 species
AGUGAACGCUGGCGGUAGGCCUAACAUAUGCAAGUCGAACGGCAGCACAGGAGAGCUUGCUCUCUGGGUGGCGAGUGGCGGACGGGUGAGGAAUACAUCGGAAUCUACUCUGUCGUGGGGGAUAACGUAGGGAAACUUACGCUAAUACCGCAUACGACCUACGGGUGAAAGCAGGGGAUCUUCGGACCUUGCGCGAUUGAAUGAGCCGAUGUCGGAUUAGCUAGUUGGCGGGGUAAAGGCCCACCAAGGCGACGAUCCGUAGCUGGUCUGAGAGGAUGAUCAGCCACACUGGAACUGAGACACGGUCCAGACUCCUACGGGAGGCAGCAGUGGGGAAUAUUGGGCAAUGGGCGCAAGCCUGAUCCAGCCAUACCGCGUGGGUGAAGAAGGCCUUCGGGUUGUAAAGCCCUUUUGUUGGGAAAGAAAUCCAGCUGGCUAAUACCCGGUUGGGAUGACGGUACCCAAAGAAUAAGCACCGGCUAACUUCGUGCCAGCAGCCGCCGUAA